GCUUGCUUCUCUGGAUGAGUUGCGAACGGGUGAGUAACGCGUAGGUAACCUGCCUGGUAGCGGGGGAUAACUAUUGGAAACGAUAGCUAAUACCGCAUAAGAGUAGAUGUUGCAUGACAUUUGCUUAAAAGGUGCACUUGCAUCACUACCAGAUGGACCUGCGUUGUAUUAGCUAGUUGGUGGGGUAACGGCUCACCAAGGCGACGAUACAUAGCCGACCUGAGAGGGUGAUCGGCCACACUGGGACUGAGACUCGGCCCAGACUCCUACGGGAGGCAGCAGUAGGGAAUCUUCGGCAAUGGACGGAAGUCUGACCGAGCAACGCCGCGUGAGUGAAGAAGGUUUUCGGAUCGUAAAGCUCUGUUGUAAGAGAAGAACGAGUGUGAGAGUGGAAAGUUCACACUGUGACGGUAUCUUACCAGAAAGGGACGGCUAACUACGUGCCAGCAGCCGCGGUAAUACGUAGGUCCCGAGCGUUGUCCGGAUUUAUUGGGCGUAAAGCGAGCGCAGGCGGUUAGAUAAGUCUGAAGUUAAAGGCUGUGGCUUAACCAUAGUAGGCUUUGGAAACUGUUUAACUUGAGUGCAAGAGGGGAGAGUGGAAUUCCAUGUGUAGCGGUGAAAUGCGUAGAUAUAUGGAGGAACACCGGUGGCGAAAGCGGCUCUCUGGCUUGUAACUGACGCUGAGGCUCGAAAGCGUGGGGAGCAAACAGGAUUAGAUACCCUGGUAGUCCACGCUGUAAACGAUGAGUGCUAGGUGUUAGACCCUUUCCGGGGUUUAGUGCCGUA
rnacentral:rRNA from 1 species